UAUCUCUAGGGUGUAAUUUUAUAUGCCUAGUCAAACUACCUGUGCCACUACGGUCUCCAGUAUACCUAUGAACAAGUAAUUUCCCACAAGUUUUACACUUAGCCUUGUCGUGCUCUCUUACUUGAGUAAGAAAAUGCCAAACUAAUGAUGUUUCAUGACGUUUAGCAGGUUGUCUACUAAAAGUGGGAGUUUGUACAGGN
rnacentral:lncRNA from 1 species